rnacentral:tRNA from 1 species
AUGGCUCAGUGGUUAAGAGCACUGGCUACUCUUCAGAGAUCCUGAGUUCAAUUCUCAGU